rnacentral:rRNA from 1 species
GACGAACGCUGGCGGCGUGCUUAACCCAUGCAAGUCGAACGGAAAGGCCCUGCUUUUGUGGGGUGCUCGAGUGGCGAACGGGUGAGUAACACGUGAGUAACCUGCCCUUGAUUUUGGGAUAACUUCAGGAAACUGGGGCUAAUACCGGAUAGGAGCUCCUGCUGCAUGGUGGGGGUUGGAAAGUUUCGGCGGUUGGGGAUGGACUCGCGGCUUAUCAGCUUGUUGGUGGGGUAGUGGCUUACCAAGGCUUUGACGGGUAGCCGGCCUGAGAGGGUGACCGGCCACAUUGGGACUGAGAUACGGCCCAGACUCCUACGGGAGGCAGCAGUGGGGAAUAUUGCACAAUGGGCGGAAGCCUGAUGCAGCAACGCCGCGUGCGGGAUGACGGCCUUCGGGUUGUAAACCGCUUUCGCCUGUGACGAAGCGUGAGUGACGGUAAUGGGUAAAGAAGCACCGGCUAACUACGUG